rnacentral:ncRNA from 1 species
UCGGCCCCGGUUCACGGCACGCGCCCGCGUGCCGACCCGGCGCC